CGCGCGCAACGAUAAGCGUGUGUGUAGCCAGUUGCUGUGUGCUCUCGCUCUCGCUCGCGCCGCCGCCGCCAAACAGUUAAAGCUCAUGUGCAGUUGAAAUUAAAUAUUAAUGCUUAUUAUCAAAGACGCGCGUCUCCCACACGACUUAUACUAUAAAUAUUCCACCGGGGAAAAAACACGCGCGCGGAGACGCGAAGACGGCUGCUUAAAAGCGCUUGCAUCGCGCCAACUGGGCUUCAUUUUAGGCAAGGUCAAGCCUAGCGCAACACCACGGGCUGCGAACCAUCUCGAAAGCAAAAAAUAAUAAUAAAAAAUCAGAAGCAGCAAAUACUAAAGUGAAAAGCAAAGCAACUAAUUCAAGUGUCGUCGGUAGCUGUUUGCAGGCACUGUGCAAAGGAAACAAUAACAAAGCGGAAUAAGCAAAGAGGCGGCUGGAAACAUUUAUGAACAACAACAACAACAAAGACAGCAACAACUAAAAGCAGCUUCGACACCAACUACAAUAUUAAAAAAAAAAAGAGGCAGAAAAAACAGUCAAAACAAAAACAACAACUACAACAGCGGGCAAAUAAAGCCCGGCAAUCAUUUUAGUCGUGCCAGUUUGUUUAUUAAAUAUACUACGUAAAGCGCAUAAAAAUAAACACAGACAGUCAAAUACACACACACACUCACACACACACAGUCUAACAAGCUUGCCCGCAAACGUGUCUCAAAACAGACGACCAGCUACCCUGUAAAAACUUGGCAAUCUUUUUGUAAAUAAAUAUUAAUUAAAAACAAAAAAAAUCGUAGAGCUAAUAAGAAAAUGCCUCCCAUGUGGUGGAAACUGAUCAAAAUUAUGCUGCUGCUCUUCGCGCUCUUCGCCACGAUAGUUUGUAUCAAUAGCGAAAUGUCGAAGCGACGCAGUGAGGCAGCCGCUGCAGAGGCCAACAGCAGCUCCAAUGAGACGAUGUCCUUUGUCUCCGACAAUCUACUGAACAUGAUGCGCACCAAGGUGCAGGAGCAGGCGCUAUCCAAGGAGCAGCAGCCGCAACAGGAUCCAGGCGAGGUGGAGCUGCCCGCCGAGGAUAUUGACGAGCGAGUUCGUUCCAUAUUCAAAGUGAACGAUGGCCAUGGUUUGAUGCUUUUUAAUACGACGGCCACGAACGAUGAUGCAUCCAUCAUGCCCAUAUCCGCUGAGCACCAGGCAACCGAGUCCUGGCCAACACCCACUCACACUCAAACCCAGUCUCAGUCUUCGUCUCAGCCCAAGCCCAAGCACUAUCAUCAAUAUCAAAGCUUGAAUCAUCAGCAACAGUCGUUCAAAGUGCAACGCUCACCGGAUGGCAAGCUGAAUCUUGUCUUUAAUGAACCCAUCGUCUCUUUGCAGAGCAACGCACAGCAGCAGCCACCGCAGCAGCCGCCGCAGCAGCCGCCGAAGCAGCAGCAGCCACAGCAGCCGCGUCGCCCCAUCUCAGACAUUAUCGUGUUUCCCGACUCUAUAGAUAAGUAUCGACCAGCCCAACCGGCGCCAACCAUCGAUACGGGGGAUCUGCAGUGCGUGGAUGGGUUCAAUCAGAGUCGCUCCUUUUGCACCAAGGUGAACAACUAUCCGGAUUUGUCCGGCCUGAAGGGCAUAUUGUCGCGUCGCUUUGCCAAUUUCUUCAGCGAUGAGCCGCAGCCCACGGAUUUCGGACUGCGAAUGAACGAUGACGAGCAGUAUUUGUGCAACAGCCAUGUGCGGUACUUGUACCCAAAAUUGGGCCAGAGAUUGGAUCAGUCCUGGCAGUAUAUAGUCAACACGGAUGAGUUCAAACAGGGCAUACUCAUCGAGGAGUGCGAUCACGAGGGCGAGAGCUGCCAAUUUCUGGACAGCUUUCCCAACAACUAUGUGCCCGUCUGCAAGCAGCACUAUGUGAUACGUCAUCUGGCCACCAUCAAUAAUGCCAGCAGCGGCCAGCCCGAGGUGGCCAAUGAGCCCUUCAAGAUACCCUCCUGCUGCAAGUGCGUCAUAAAGAGCAAAUUUUCGGUAGAGAGCAAACCCUGAGACUAAGCAAAAACCAAUCUGAAUGUUGAUUUUAGAAUGUCGAGCCAAUUUCUGCACAUGUGAUUUUGAUCAACAAGUUUCACCCACCACAGAAUGGCAGGCCAAACUGUCUAGGGUCUUAUUGUUUUUAUAAUCUGUAGACUAGUUGUUUUAUAUGCACAUAAAACGUAUCUUAAAAUAAGUAUAAAUAAUCAGUACUAUAUCUAAUGCCUAAUAAUAAUUGCAAACACUCAUUGAUUAGCCAUAAAUUUAUUAUAAGGUUUAGUAUUUACAAAAUAUUACUUAUUGACGCUGCGCCUAUGCUAAAAACAAA